rnacentral:rRNA from 1 species
UACGUAGGGUGCGAGCGUUAAUCGGAAUUACUGGGCGUAAAGGGCUUGUAGGUGGCCAACUAAGUCAGACGUGAAAUCCCUCGGCUUAACCGGGGAACUGCGUCUGAUACUGGAUGGCUAGAGUGUGGGAGAGGGAUGCGGAAUUCCAGGUGUAGCGGUGAAAUGCGUAGAUAUCUGGAGGAACACCGGUGGCGAAGGCGGCAUCCUGGACCACGACUGACACUGAAAAGCGAAAGCCAGGGGAGCAAACGGG